UGCAAAGCAGUGUAAUUGGUUUAAGCCCAGAAGCUAGGGAAAGAGGGAAAUGGGGUGGAGGGGUGUAACCCCCUUUGGAAAAAGAAAAAAGAAAAAUAGGCGGGGCCGGGCGGGCAGGCCCGGGCUCCGCUUGGGAACUGUGCCGGGGAAGAAGGCCAGGGGCGGUGGCAUCGGAGCCCUGCCUUAGAGACCGAGCGGACUAAAUGACCCCGGGGUACCUCCCCGGAGGCGCUCACCACCCUCCGGAGCCGGGCCGCGGCCCAGUCCCGCGCACCUCUUGCUCUUCUGCCUGCUCUCUGCCCCCUCCCUCCUGACUCCUGACCCAAAGUUCAACUCUGGGAGACUGGAGAAUACAGACUUUUUUUCCCCUUUCCUUUCUUUCCUGCUUGGGCUUCAAACUAGAAAAGGGAAAAAGCCCCACUUUUGCUUCGUCACUAGAAACCCGGUCAUCUGAGUCAGCCUAGCCGAGUGACGUUAGGCCGACCCGGGCUCCUGGCUAGCAGAGCGGAGGCCCUGCCACGAAACUCGUACCUGCGGCUAAGAGCAGGCUUCUUCAAAAAACCCAAGACUGGUGGUGCAGAGUGAACUCAGCCAGCUUCACAUCCUUGAUCCAGCUUGGAGGUUCCUGGGUCUGGGGCCCAGGAGAUUCCCACGAACACAGCGCCUCCUGUCGUGGAGAGGGAACGCUGGAUUCUUCCGCAGGCGUCUGCAGGGAGCUUCGCCAGGCGAGAAGGCCCUUACACUAUUGCAAAACUGCUUUGCGAAGACUGCUGCUCGUUUGGGGGAACUAGACCUGUCUUCAGCUCGGGGAGGCUAGGUGGACUGGGCCAGGGGAGCCGCGAGGACAACCACGUGUCGACUCCUGGGGAAUCCUGGGCCAAACUCGUGCGGGUGAGGACCGGUCUGUGGCGGCCUGGGGCGGCUCAGGUAGCAGCGAGGGCGGGCUUCUCCAGUGGAGGAGGCCGCGGCGGUCGGGACGGUAGGGAGCGCCGGUACUCCAGGUGGCCUUGGGAGGAAGAAGCAGCUCCGCCCUUCCCGGAAGCCGCGCCUGCGACCCGCGGGGGCCGCUCUCCGCGCAGUGCGGCUGUAGAAGAGGCGGCACACGGUCCACUGACCAAACUGGGCUGCCUCAGCUUAGCCUUCCCAGCAUGACCUGGCUGGGAGUCCCUUCGCAUAUAUUCACCGCGGAGGGAGACUCAGAGUGUGACUGCGAAGGGAAAGGCCACGGGCUCGUGCUCGGGCCCAGCCGGUGGCCUCUCGCGGCGACGAGGGCCUUCCAGUUUACCUGGGCCGCAGGCUGGGCCGAGAGCAGGGCCCGCGGCGGCGGGACUCCGCCGUGCCCACUGGCGUCUCUGGAGGGCUUCUCACUCUGGCUCUCUAGACCGCCCCUUUUCUUGCCCACCCUCUUUCCCCGACGGGGCUGUUGUCAGUCACUGCCUCCCUGGGUCCGCCACGCUCGGUGUGGGGUGGUCCGAGCUCGCCCCCACCCUUCGCCCAGAUAAGGAGCUGAAGUCCUCUUUCCUGCGGGGGAGAGUCGUCGUGCGCAACGAAACUAAGAUUCAUUUUAGUUUUAACGCAAUUCAAAGCCGAUUGACAGCUUAGGAGUAAGGAAGGCCUGGACGCUGGAAGCAGCUGUCCGCACUUGCGCGUGCGGGGCCUUCCAGCUGGAGGUGUGCGCGGGCCGGACGAGGCCUGGGCGCGCGAGAGGACGGCCCAGCGCCUGCCCUCUGCAUCCCGCCCACAACCGCAGGAGGCGCGGCGGCCAGGCCCGCGCGGCCCCCGCUGCCCCGACCGGACUGGACUGGGGCGCUGGAGCUGAGAGAGGAGAAGCGUGGAUGGGCUUGGCCAGCGUUCGAGCUCCUGUUCCUCCGCUGCCUUUUUCUUUUCAUUUUUCUUUCCUCAUACCUUCCUUGCUCUCUCCCUUCCAUCAUUAAAUCACUUAAUUCCCAACUCACAAGGCAUCUGACCCCCAGUAGGUAGGGGUCCUGGGACCACCUGACCGGCCGCUACUUUUCCUGACCCAUCCCUGACUCUGUGUGUGUGUAUGUGUGUGUGUGUGUGUGUGUGGUGUGAAACCAACAUAUAUACAUACCCAGGACCUUCCCUUAUGUUGAAGCAAGCAAACAAAAACAGCCACUGUUUGUCUUUUCCCCUACUGCUCCCUAAGCCGCCGCCGGGUUUCUGAGCGGCCCGGGGCGCCAGCUUGGCUCUACUGCAGCCGGAUGUCAGAGCCGGAGCUGCUCCCCACCCAGCCUCGCCCGCAGGCGACAAAACGGUCUCACUGGCCGUGAGAGAGCUUCGUGUUGCCAAAAUCAACUCGCAUUUUCAUGUAUUCAAAUGAGAAAGGUUGGGAAGGGAGACUUGUCCUCCUGGGCAAUCAACAGCCUUGGAAGGAAGAAGUGCCCCAUCAGUCACCGCUGGAGGGAACUUCCCUCCCUCGAGGCCCCGGGAGCUGAUACUGCGCCCCCGCCUGCACCUGGGCCACCAAGGCGGUAGCGCAUCUCCUGGCGGCUUUGUCCCCCAGAGUUACCAAAUGCUUUAUUCACGUCGGUAAGCGCCAGCUGGAGAACGUGCUGGGCCCCAGCGGUCCCCCUCCUGGGGAAAGCGGGCUCCACUGCAGUGAUGCUCACACCAUCCUCUGGCUUUCCCCCUCUCUUUAAAAGCCCCUAGGGUUGGAGACCUAGGGGAGGGAAUGGAAAUGCAGGCUUCACACACAGUCCUGAGUUAGAGACGGGGACCAGAGCGGAUGAGGCCCUACUGUGUGCCACAGACUGGGUGGGGAGCUUGGGGAUCCCCCAUCUCUCCACCUGCAGAGGCAGUGUGCGAAAGCUGGGAGGCGGGAAGCCUGGGCGACGGUAGGUCAGGAGCUCCACUCCACCCCAACGCAGAAGUCAGAGCUAAUGGGGAGCAGUGAUUGCAGCUGAGGGCUUGGAAAAGUCAACGAAUUUCAUCUCUUGCCCAGAAGCUGGCAGCUUAAACCUAAAUCCUUCUAGAAUGGUCGAUCAGAGUUUAGCUUCCCCGUCAGGGCCAACCAGACAGACCCCUCAGAUCCUCCCGCAGCCCACCCCCUGCCCGCCCUCCCCAGACACCCAAGAGCUUUCCCACAGUCCCUCCGUUGUCCCUAGUGGUUUAACUUUGGCUAUUCAAAUGCGAUUACCCUCAAAUUUUCAUAGUUCUAUUUAACAGACGCUUUAGUAACAAUCGUAUAAAUCAUGCACUACACACUUGGAAAGAAAAUAAACUGUACAAAUGCA